rnacentral:rRNA from 1 species
CAGACCUCUGAUCAGGGAAGACUACCCGCUGAGUUUAAGCAUAUCACUAAGCGGAGGAGAAGAAACUAACCAGGA